GCCUUGGCGGUUCAGUGGUAGAAUUCUUGCCUUCCAUGUGGGAGACCCAGGUUUUGUUCCUGGCCAGUGUA
rnacentral:tRNA from 1 species